rnacentral:lncRNA from 1 species
CUCCCUCAAAACACUAUAACAACCCCAGGUCAUGCCUACUGCUGAAGAUCACUCCUUGAAAAUGAAAGCAACAUAUCUCCCGAUUUUGGGUGUUGAAGGUGAGUAAUCCGCUUGAUGAUUUGGAGAUCUCUUGAAAUCUUUGAUUUGAAUUUUUUGAUUUUGUUCAGAAAUGUUUCACAGAAUUUUCAGUGAUGGAUAUCAAUUAAAAAAAAAAGAAUACGGCUCUCCCGAUAUUGGUGCUGAAUCAUUGAAUGUGAGAGAUCAUUAGGAUGAUUUUGGGAUUAUCUUGAAUAUGUUGUUUGGGGAGUUUGAUUCUGGAAGAAAUGUGUUUGAGAGGAAAUAAGGUUUUGAUAAAGGGCUGCAAGUACAGGGGUUUCUAUGAUUUAUUGUGUAUUAAAGUAGUGCAUUUAUUUAUUUAUUUUUAUUGAUUCGUGCUGUCAAACAUUAUAAUAAAUGUGUUGGAGUUUUUUCGUUUUCAUUUUUCACUACUAAAAUU